GUGGAGAGUGCGUGUUGCGCUUCCUGUGCAACUGUAGAGAGAGAAGUCCAGGGUUGUGAAUAUGGCGAUCGGACAACGGGAUGCGUGUUAUUCCUCUGCCCUUCUAUUGUGAAUCCUGCUGACUGCUGCCAAACCUGCACGAUAACAACAACCCAGGCGCCCACAACAAAUCAGGCGUCAAUAA